AUUGGUGCUUGCACCAAUUUGAAGAGCAGCGAACGGGUGAGUAACGCGUGGGGAAUCUGCCUUUGAGCGGGGGACAACAUUUGGAAACGAAUGCUAAUACCGCAUAAUAACUUUAAACAUAAGUUUUAAGUUUGAAAGAUGCAAUUGCAUCACUCAAAGAUGAUCCCGCGUUGUAUUAGCUAGUUGGUGAGGUAAAGGCUCACCAAGGCGAUGAUACAUAGCCGACCUGAGAGGGUGAUCGGCCACAUUGGGACUGAGACACGGCCCAAACUCCUACGGGAGGCAGCAGUAGGGAAUCUUCGGCAAUGGACGAAAGUCUGACCGAGCAACGCCGCGUGAGUGAAGAAGGUUUUCGGAUCGUAAAACUCUGUUGGUAGAGAAGAACGUUGGUGAGAGUGGAAAGCUCAUCAAGUGACGGUAACUACCCAGAAAGGGACGGCUAACUACGUGCCAGCAGCCGCGGUAAUACGUAGGUCCCGAGCGUUGUCCGGAUUUAUUGGGCGUAAAGCGAGCGCAGGUGGUUUAUUAAGUCUGGUGUAAAAGGCAGUGGCUCAACCAUUGUAUGCAUUGGAAACUGGUAGACUUGAGUGCAGGAGAGGAGAGUGGAAUUCCCUGUGUAGCGGUGAAAUGCGUAGAUAUAUGGGAGGAACACCCGGUGGCGAAAAGCGGCUCUCUGGUCCUGUAACUGACACUGAGGCUCGAAAGCGUGGGGAGCAAACAGGAUUAGAUACCGUGGUAGUCCACGCCGUAAACGAUGAGUGCUAGAUGUAGGGAGCUAUAAGUUCUCUGUAUCGCAGCUAACGCAAUAAGCACUCCGCCUGGGGAGUACGACCGCAAGGUUGAAACUCAAAGGAAUUGACGGGGGCCCGCACAAGCGGUGGAGCAUGUGGUUUAAUUCGAAGCAACGCGAAGAACCUUACCAGGUCUUGACAUACUCGUGCUAUUCCUAGAGAUAGGAAGUUCCUUCGGGACACGGGAUACAGGUGGUGCAUGGUUGUCGUCAGCUCGUGUCGUGAGAUGUUGGGUUAAGUCCCGCAACGAGCGCAACCCCUAUUGUUAGUUGCCAUCAUUAAGUUGGGCACUCUAACGAGACUGCCGGUGAUAAACCGGAGGAAGGUGGGGAUGACGUCAAAUCAUCAUGCCCCUUAUGACCUGGGCUACACACGUGCUACAAUGGAUGGUACAACGAGUCGCGAGACAGUGAUGUUUAGCUAAUCUCUUAAAACCAUUCUCAGUUCGGAUUGUAGGCUGCAACUCGCCUACAUGAAGUCGGAAUCGCUAGUAAUCGCGGAUCAGCACGCCGCGGUGAAUACGUUCCCGGGCCUUGUACACACCGCCCGUCACACCACGGGAGUUGGGAGUACCCGAAGUAGGUUGCCUAACC
rnacentral:rRNA from 2 species